rnacentral:rRNA from 1 species
UACGGAGGAGGCAAGCGUUAUCCGGAUUUAUUGGGCGUAAAGCGUCCGCAGGUGGCACUUCAAGUCUGUCGUCAAAGACUGGGGCUUAACCCUGGAAAGGCGGUGGAAACUGAAGCGCUAGAGUACUGUAGGGGCAGGCGGAAUUCCGGGUGUAGCGGUGGAAUGCGUAGAGAUCCGGAGGAAGACCGGUGGCGAAGGCGGCCUGCUGGGCAGUUACUGACACUGAGGCGCGACAGCGUGGGGAGCAAACAGG